rnacentral:rRNA from 1 species
GAGUUUGAUCCUGGCUCAGAACGAACGCUGGCGGCAUGCCUAACGCAUGCAAGUCGAACGCCAUGGUUUCGGCCAUGGAGUGGCGCACGGGUGAGUAAUGCGUGGGAACCUGCCUAGCAGUAUGGGACAACCGCGGGAAACUGCGGCUAAUACCGUAUACGCCCGUCUUUGGGAGACCAGGGGCGGGAAAGAUUGAUCGCUGUUAGAGGGGCCCGCGUCGGAUUAGGUAGUUGGUGGGGUAAAGGCCUACCAAGCCUGCGAUCCGUAGCUGGUCUGAGAGGAUGACCAGCCACACUGGGACUGAGACACGGCCCAGACUCCUACGGGAGGCAGCAGUGGGGAAUAUUGGACAAUGGGCGCAAGCCUGAUCCAGCAAUGCCGCGUGAGUGAUGAAGGCCUUAGGGUUGUAAAGCUCUUUCACACGCGACGAUGAUGACGGUAGCGUGAGAAGAAGCCCCGGCUAACUCCGUGACAGCAGCCGCCGUAAU